rnacentral:rRNA from 1 species
GACAAACGCUGGCGGCGUGCCUAACACAUGCAAGUCGAACGGACGAGGAGAAGCUUGCUUCUCCGAGUUAGUGGCGGACGGGUGAGUAACGCGUGAGUAAUCUGCCUAUCAAAGGGGGAUAACAGUCGGAAACGACUGCUAAUACCGCAUAAUGUAUCAUGAGGGCAUCCUUGAGAUACCAAAGGAGCAAUCCGAUGAUAGAUGAGCUCGCGUCUGAUUAGAUAGUUGGUGAGGUAACGGCUCACCAAGUCGACGAUCAGUAGCCGGACUGAGAGGAUGAACGGCCACAUUGGGACUGAGAUACGGCCCAGACUCCUACGGGAGGCAGCAGUGGGGAAUAUUGGGCAAUGGGCGAAAGCCUGACCCAGCAACGCCGCGUGAAGGAAGAAGGCCUCGGGUUGUAACGUUCUUUACCUAGGACGAAUUUG